UGCCAGCAGCCGCGGUAAGACGAAGGUGGCAAGCGUUGCUCGGAGUUACUGGGCAUAAAGAGCGCGUAGGUGGCGCAGCAAGCGAGAGAUGAAAUCCCAUGGCUCACCCAUGGAACUGUCCCUCGAACUGCUGUGCUUGAGGACGGGAGGGGAAGGUGGAAUUCCUGGUGUAGCGGUGAAAUGCGUAGAUAUCAGGAGGAACACCGGUGGCGAAAGCGACCUUCUGGCCCGUUCCUGACACUGAGGCGCGAAAGCUAGGGGAGCAAACAGGAUUAGAUA
rnacentral:rRNA from 1 species